rnacentral:lncRNA from 1 species
AUACUCAUAUGCAGGUUUCUUAUCUUCUUUCAUUGCAUCAGCAAUAUGGGUUGAGAACAGAGCUCCCAUAACACCCUGCUCUCCAACAGAAACCUGCUACAGCUUCUCCAUUUGAUGAAGUUUCGAAUGAUCCUAGAUCCAAUUUCCCCUUUGAAACGGGGCAAAUGAACUUCAAGAAAUAUACCAUCAUCAACAUUACCAUCGUCAUGACCAUUAAAAUUAUAAAGAAGACACUUAUUCAAGCAAUUAAACUCUUUCCUGAACUGAAACUGGCACAGACAAAGAAUCUGCUCCCCAACACAUUUAGCUGCAGACAGAGCUCAAGGAGCCCUAACCAGAGCAAUUCCCCUGGCUGCAAGAACCUGGGUUAGGAUACUGGUUUGAAAGAUGUGUGCACCAGAGAAGGAAAGCCAUUCCACCAGAGCUGGAAUGAGAAAAAGGACAGUGUUUCUUAAGCCAAGAAUUCCAUAAAAAAUCCACAAACCUGUGGAUUGGUGAGCCAGGAUAUAUUGUGCUGUUAUUUAUUGCCACAGAGUUUUGAAGAUUGCAUUAACUUUCAAGACAAUUAAUCUUCCUAAUUAAAACUAAUUAAAAUUAAAAUUACGUUUUGCUCAGGUAUAGCAAUUUCUAUCUCCUGCUUAAUGAGAAAAUAGAAUUUCCACUAUUCG